CGCCAGACUCCUACGGGAGGCAGCAGUGGGGAAUAUUGCACAAUGGGGGAAACCCUGAUGCAGCGACGCCGCGUGAGUGAAGAAGUAUUUCGGUAUGUAAAGCUCUAUCAGCAGGGAAGAAAAUGACGGUACCUGACUAAGAAGCCCCGGCUAACUACGUGCCAGCAGCCGCGGUAAUACGUAGGGGGCAAGCGUUAUCCGGAUUUACUGGGUGUAAAGGGAGCGUAGACGGCAGCGCAAGUCUGGAGUGAAAUGCCGGGGCCCAACCCCGGAACUGCUCUGGAAACUGUGCGGCUAGAGUACUGGAGGGGCAGGCGGAAUUCCUAGUGUAGCGGUGAAAUGCGUAGAUAUCACGCAGAACUCCGAUUGCGAAGGCAGCAUACCGGCGCUCAACUGACGCUCAUGCACGAAAGCGUGGGUAUCGAACAGGAUUAGAUACCCUAGUA
rnacentral:rRNA from 1 species